rnacentral:rRNA from 1 species
UACGUAGGCGGAAAAUUAAGUCAGUAGUGAAAUCCUGCAGCUUAACUGUAGAACUGUUAUUGAUACUGGUUUUCUUGAAUGUAGUUGAGGUAGGCGGAAUGUGUAAUGUAGCGGUGAAAUGCUUAGAUAUUACACAGAACACCGAUUGCGAAGGCAGCUUACUAAGCUACGAUUGACGCUGAGGUACGAAAGCGUGGGGAGCGAACAGGAUUAGAUACCCUGGUAGUCC